GAUGAACGCUGGCGGCGUGCUUAACACAUGCAAGUCGAACGGAAAGGCACAAGCUUGCUUGGGUACUCGAGUGGCGAACGGGUGAGUAACACGUGGGUGAUCUGCCCUGCACUUCGGGAUAAGCCUGGGAAACUGGGUCUAAUACCGGAUAGGACGAUGGUUUGGAUGCCAUUGUGGAAAGUUUUUUCGGUGUGGGAUGAGCUCGCGGCCUAUCAGCUUGUUGGUGGGGUAAUGGCCUACCAAGGCGUCGACGGGUAGCCGGCCUGAGAGGGUGUACGGCCACAUUGGGACUGAGAUACGGCCCAGACGCCUACGGGAGGCAGCAGUGGGGAAUAUUGCACAAUGGGCGCAAGCCUGAUGCAGCGACGCCGCGUGGGGGAUGACGGCCUUCGGGUUGUAAACUCCUUUCGCUAGGGACGAAGCGUUUUGUGACGGUACCUGGAGAAGAAGCACCGGCUAACUACGUG
rnacentral:rRNA from 1 species